AUGGUUGAGACACAGGACGUACAGGGAUUUGGACUAAAUAGCUCAGCAUUCCCGCUCACGUCUCCACCUACCGGAACACAGCUCAGCAUUCCAGCUCACAUCUCCACCUACCGGAACACAACUCAGCAUUCCUGCUCACAUCUCCACCUACCGGAACACAACUCAGCAUUCCCGCUCACAUCUCCACCUACCGGAACACAGCUCAGCAUUCCUGCUCACAUCUCCACCUACCGGAACACAGCUCAGCAUUCCAGCCUCACAUCUCCACCUACCGGAACACAGCUCAGCAUUCCAGCUCCUUCCAUACAGACACAAAGGUGCUGUACGAUGGCAAGCACCUCCAAGACAACUGUUUGAAAGCCAUGCAAUAGUGAUAUGAUCAGCUAUAUCAGAGGAUUGUUCUGGCUGACCUCUAUGGGUUUGACUAACCUCUUGUGAUGUCCAGCCCCAAGCCUGAUGUGUGAUGUGCUACAGUUGUUUCCUUAACCUGGUCCUAUACCGCCCCUUUGUGUGAUGGUUUUCUGUCUGAGGUAUCAUAUCAUUUCCAGACACGUGAAGACUUGACUCAUUUAAAAAAAAUUGGUUUGGAACGUUCUAACGAACUGGUUGAUUAUGGAAUUAGAAUACAGGAAAACAAGCUGAAACAGGGGGACUUGGCGACCAUAGUUUAGGGGACUUGGCGACCAUAGUUUAGGGGACUUGGCGACCAUAGUUUAGGGGACUUGGCGACCAUAGUUUGGGGGACUUGAUGACCGUAGUUUGGGAGACUUGGCGACCAUAGUUUAGGGGACUUGAUAACCGUAGUUUGGGAGACUUGGCGACCAUAGUUUAGGGGACUUGGCGACCAUAGUUUAGGGGACUUGGCAACCGUAGUUUAGGGGACUUGAUGACCAUAGUUUGGGAGACUUGGCGACCAUAGUUUAGGGGACUUGAUGACCAUAGAUUGGGGGACUUGGCGACCGUAGUUUAGGGGACUUGGCGACCGUAGUUUGGGGGACUUGACGACCGUAGUUUGGGGGACUUGGCGACCAUAGAUUGGGGGACUUGGCAACCAUAGAUUGGGGGACUUAGUGCCUCAUACUGGCACUUCUGCAUGGUGAAGUCUAGGGGGCAGGGGCCUACGGGAAGGACCUAGAACUGUACAGUAGUUCCUAGAUGGUCAUGCUAGGACAGAAUCAGCAACAGGUUUGUAUUAAAACAGCAUUUUGUAAUUAGUCCUGUCUAGCAUAGGGCAACGGUCGUUGUCACCAUAAUGGCCAUAUCAGACUGACAAGAGGAGGGAUGAGGGGAGGGGAGGGCGAAGGGCAGUUCAUGGUAAAUGUGCCAAUUAAAAUUGUAUUUUUUUUUUUUUAAGAGUAUUUAUUCCUCAGCUGUUGUAAAUGACAUUUUCCUACCGAGUCUUAUUGAUGUCAUUCUUCAUUGUUCUCAGUGCAACCAGUGAGUCACAGCAGACGUGGUCACAUAUCAGAGGCUAGUGUCGGACCGGUGUCCUCUUCAUCUUACUUAACAUGUAGUGUUGAUUUAUGUUGUCUGGCUGAGUUUAAGAGUCUGUGCAAUUUUGUACUGAGUGAUGUACUUGACAUAACUUUAUAUUUCUGUGAAUAAAACUUGAACAAACUGUUAUUAUGAACAUCAUGUCUUCCGUUUCUAAGCCACACACAAGACAUUUGAUCAAGCACCAACCCCGAUCACAACAUAUUGAAUUGAACACUGCUCAGCACUUCAUGAGAAUAGGUUUGGUUUUACUGAUGGACAACAGAGAUCUCUAGUGGACAAAAGCUGUUCUUGCUGACUAGUCUCCUAGGUAGACAGGUUGCAGAGACUGACUGCAGAGGCAGAGACUCCUGCACCACCGCAGAGACUCCUGCACCACCGCAGAGACUCCUGAACCACCGCAGAGACUCCUGCACCACCGCAGAGGCAGAGACUCC
rnacentral:lncRNA from 1 species